AGAAAGAAAAUAGAGAAAAAACACUCACACCCAUGAGCAAACCCUCGACCUCCCCUUACACAUACUCAACUGAAGAAAAAGAAGGCGAUGGAGAGAGAUCGAGAAAAGAAGAAGACCCAAGAAUAAAUGGAAACAUAAUUGGGCUUAUUUUUACAGAUCAAUCAAGAUGGGUUGUUGAACAGAUGGGGAUUCUAAUUGGCUAAUUUGCUUGCUUUGGGGUUUAAUUAAAUAUCUCAUCUUGCGCUUCUACAAUUCAAGCCUGCUUUCUUUGCUGCUGUAAUUGCUUACAAAGAAAAUGUAGUAUAUAAAGUGACUGAGGCUAGUAAUAAGAAGCAGCCGAAGGAAAAAAACUAAUAGAUGCAGUUCUGGAAUAUGUUGGAAGAUCACAUGAUUUGAUCAAGAGCAACCCCAUUCUACUGUUUGGUAUCUGCAGUCUACGGGUUUUUCUGAAAUAUCGUUUACCAGUAAGAGAAAUAGUUGUAGACUUUUACAAUGAAUUGAAGAGUAUAACCUCAGGUUAUGCUUCAUUUGACUAUGAAGAGGCAGAGUGAGUCCCCUCCCCCCUCCUUCUCUCUCUGUCACACACACACACAUCCUCCAGUCCUCACCUAUUUAUGGUAGGAAUUGGUCGACAUGGACUUGGGGUUGUAACGUUUGCAUAUUCUAGCGAUGUAGUGAUUAUUAGAACUGAAAGGGAUAUAAAAAAUUAUCAGUCCUGUUCAUUCCCUACUGAAAGGGAACUGAAAUGUGAUAUAAGUAUACUUUCCUACUCUAUUUGCACAACUCUAUCACUUGCAAUAAAAGCAUUUUUAUCUUAGAAAUAUUCAUGUUUCCUGCAGAACUACAUUUGGUUUGUUCAAGUUUUGGUGGUCCGGAUUUUCUUUAUGUCAAGUGUUCCAGAAAUAAUCAAUAAUGAAUAUAUUCUUAUAUUUUAUCUAUCUAUAUUAUAGUUGCUGAACCCUGUUAUAUACAAUAAAUCAUGCUUGCUGAGUUUUUGCCCCAUUUUUAUUACAUAUUUAAAGCCAAUGCCACUAUAUACCUAAGACAAGUUAGGCUGCACUCGUAUGCAUACUAUACAAAUAAACAAACAGCUGUGUCUUUAAUAAAACUUCUCGGAGAAGCUUAUAGUACCACACUCCUCUCUACUCAACUGAUGAGUUUUUGAAUUCAAAAAUAAAAUUUCUCGCACCGCGGUCACCUAGCUUCCUCCUCUGCUUCAGUAUUUACAUGGCCAAGGUGUUGUUUAUGUUUUCUUCUCUUUUUCUUAUGCUUUAUUUUCUUAUGCUUUAUGCGUUAACAUUUUGUAUACUGAUCAUGAUAAUCUUAUCUUGCUCCAGGAUUCAAAUAAUGCUGACUAAUGGUGGCUUUUUACCUCCGAAGAUAUGAAUGAGGGUUACAAAUCGCUGAUGAAGAGGAAGAAGACAUCCAAGUUGACAAAAGAUAAUGCAAAGGAGAAUCAGACGCCACCCGGAAUAGGAUACCAAUGGACUUUGAGAUCUCUAAGAAAACUUCUGAUAUGGAGGAUAAACAUAAUGAAAACUGAAGGCAAACCUCGGACAUUUGCUGAGAAGAAUCUUUAACUACAUAGUAAUGUCGAAGAACUAUGUGAUGGUGGUUAGAAUUAACACGGUUGAAUGCCGAUAGCGAUGCAGCUGAUUAUAGAUGAUCAUUAGUACUAUGUUCUAGAUUUGGCCCAUUUUGAUGUCAAAAAUUUGAUGUACUUUUCCUAUUUUGGCAUAUUUUCAUUAGUGUUCUAAACUUGUAAUUGUUUUUUUAUUUAGUAACUAUGGUACUGAUUUUGGUUGCGGUUGUCUAGGACUUGGUAGUGGUUGUCUAGGAAUGAUCAUAUUUGUGUUUGGUAACAGUCUUAGUACUGUUUAGGAUUUGUUGGUGUUGAAUCAUUAAAGGUGGAUUAAUAUAUUUAUAAAAUGGUCAUGUCAUUUUUUUUA